rnacentral:rRNA from 1 species
CUCAGAUUGAACGCUGGCGGCAGGCCUAACACAUGCAAGUCGAGCGGUAGCACAGAGAGCUUGCUCUCGGGUGACGAGCGGCGGACGGGUGAGUAAUGUCUGGGAAACUGCCUGAUGGAGGGGGAUAACUACUGGAAACGGUAGCUAAUACCGCAUAACGUCGCAAGACCAAAGUGGGGGACCUUCGGGCCUCAUGCCAUCAGAUGUGCCCAGAUGGGAUUAGCUAGUAGGUGGGGUAACGGCUCACCUAGGCGACGAUCCCUAGCUGGUCUGAGAGGAUGACCAGCCACACUGGAACUGAGACACGGUCCAGACUCCUACGGGAGGCAGCAGUGGGGAAUAUUGCACAAUGGGCGCAAGCCUGAUGCAGCCAUGCCGCGUGUAUGAAGAAGGCCUUCGGGUUGUAAAGUACUUUCAGCGGGGAGGAAGGCGAUAAGGUUAAUAACCUUGUCGAUUGACGUUACCCGCAGAAGAAGCACCGGCUAACUCCGUGCCAGCAGCCGCGGUAAUACGGAGGGUGCAAGCGUUAAUCGGAAUUACUGGGCGUAAAGCGCACGCAGGCGGUCUGUCAAGUCGGAUGUGAAAUCCCCGGGCUCAACCUGGGAACUGCAUUCGAAACUGGCAGGCUAGAGUCUUGUAGAGGGGGGUAGAAUUCCAGGUGUAGCGGUGAAAUGCGUAGAGAUCUGGAGGAAUACCGGUGGCGAAGGCGGCCCCCUGGACAAAGACUGACGCUCAGGUGCGAAAGCGUGGGGAGCAAACAGGAUUAGAUACCCUGGUAGUCCACGCCGUAAACGAUGUCGAUUUGGAGGUUGUGCCCUUGAGGCGUGGCUUCCGGAGCUAACGCGUUAAAUCGACCGCCUGGGGAGUACGGCCGCAAGGUUAAAACUCAAAUGAAUUGACGGGGGCCCGCACAAGCGGUGGAGCAUGUGGUUUAAUUCGAUGCAACGCGAAGAACCUUACCUGGUCUUGACAUCCACAGAACUUAGCAGAGAUGCUUUGGUGCCUUCGGGAACUGUGAGACAGGUGCUGCAUGGCUGUCGUCAGCUCGUGUUGUGAAAUGUUGGGUUAAGUCCCGCAACGAGCGCAACCCUUAUCCUUUGUUGCCAGCGGUUCGGCCGGGAACUCAAAGGAGACUGCCAGUGAUAAACUGGAGGAAGGUGGGGAUGACGUCAAGUCAUCAUGGCCCUUACGACCAGGGCUACACACGUGCUACAAUGGCAUAUACAAAGAGAAGCGACCUCGCGAGAGCAAGCGGACCUCAUAAAGUAUGUCGUAGUCCGGAUUGGAGUCUGCAACUCGACUCCAUGAAGUCGGAAUCGCUAGUAAUCGUAGAUCAGAAUGCUACGGUGAAUACGUUCCCGGGCCUUGUACACACCGCCCGUCACACCAUGGGAGUGGGUUGCAAAAGAAGUAGGUAGCUUAACCUUCGGGAGGGCGCUUACCACUUUGUGAUUCAUGACUGGGGU